CCUACGGGUGGCAGCAGUGGGGAAUAUUGGACAAUGGGCGAAAGCCUGAUCCAGCCAUGCCGCGUGUGUGAAGAAGGCCUUCGGGUUGUAAAGCACUUUCAGUGGGGAAGAAAGCCUUGGGUCUAAUACCCUCGAGGAAGGACAUCACCCACAGAAGAAGCACCGGCUAACUCCGUGCCAGCAGCCGCGGUAAUACGGAGGGUGCGAGCGUUAAUCGGAAUUACUGGGCGUAAAGCGCGCGUAGGCGGUCUGAUAAGCCGGUUGUGAAAGCCCCGGGCUCAACCUGGGAACGGCAUCCGGAACUGGCAGGCUUGAGUGCAGGAGAGGAAGGUAGAAUUCCCGGUGUAGCGGUGAAAUGCGUAGAGAUCGGGAGGAAUACCAGUGGCGAAGGCGGCCUUCUGGACUGACACUGACGCUGAGGUGCGAAAGCGUGGGUAGCAAACAGGAUUAGAUACCCUAGUAGUC
rnacentral:rRNA from 1 species